UCCUAGAAGGACCACCGGUGGCGAAGGCGUCUUGCUAGAACGGAUCCGACGGUGAGGGACGAAGCCCUGGGGCGCAAACGGGAUUAGAUACCCCGGUAGUCCAGGGUGUAAACGCUGCAGGCUUGGUGUUGGAGACCCUUCGGGGGUGUUCAGUGCCGGAGAGAAGUUGUUAAGCCUGCUACUUGGGGAGUACGUCCGCAAGGAUGAAACUUAAAGGAAUUGGCGGGGGAGCACCGCAACGGGAGGAGCGUGCGGUUUAAUUGGAUUCAACACCGGAAAACUCACCAGGAGCGACGGUUACAUGAAAGNCNGGCUGAUGACCUUACUAGAUUUUCCGAGAAGUGGUGCAUGGCC
rnacentral:rRNA from 1 species